GCCACAAUGGUGAGAGGCCCGCAUACUGCAAACGAACAAACAAACAAACAAAAAUAAAUAAAUAAAGAGACGAAGUAUACAUUAUGUUCUGUGUUCAGUGAUAAAAUUGCUGAACUACCAUGUGCCUGUUUUAAAUCUGUGCUUUAAUACUGUUUUUCAGAGCAGGUAUGCUUCACUUUUGGUGAUGAAUCUGGAGAAAACCUGUUAUUUAAAAAAGAAUGCAAGCUCCAGGAGGGAUUGAACUUUGCUUUGUUUAUUGCCAUAUCUCCAGUGCCCAGAACAGUGCCUGACAGGUAACAAAUAUUUAUCGACUGAAUGAGUGAAUUUCACAUGCCUUUAUGAAUUAAUUGUCAGUCUAAAUGUACUAAUCAGACUCUGAGAAGGAGAGAGUCAGUUCUGUUUUCCACUUUCCUAUUAAUAAGCUCAAAAAUCCAUUUUAUUAGUGAGACAGGAUGUAAAACAUACACACAGCUAAGCCUGGUGAAAGAAAACCUGGUAGCUAUAAGUUCAUUUACAUUUUAGAAAUGUUUGUGCAGUGACGAAAACCAAUACUGUUAGAGUCAUCUUAAAAAGUCAUGCUAAAUAAGCCACAGUUGAAAUUAAGUUGAUUUCCCAUUGAAGUCCCCAACUUCCCUCUUAAUGGAGUAUUGACUAUGUUUUAAACAUGCCUUUAGUCUAAGACUUCUGAAAAUGUUGCCUUUGUUGUUAAAAUCCCAUCCGACUACUAAACUGCUGCUCUUUCUUUUUAUUUUUUCUCCCUUGGCCCCCAACAAAUUCUAUAAAUGCUUUGCCUGGCUGUGAUUCAUAAAGAGCUCAAGGAUGGGAAUGCUGGGGACAGACAAUUUCAGAUUCUUCACCUGUCAAGCUCUUGUCAUAACUGAACAUGCUAAUGGCUUGCAAUAGUUUUAAAAUAAAAGAACAACGACAAACAAAAUUGUGGCAUUUGGAGCAAGUUGACAAUUCAAAUCAGACAUAUCAAUCAUCACACUCACACACACACAUACACACACACACACACACAUAUACACACACACACACACACACACACACACACACACACACACUGCUAUCCUCUUGUGGGUAGGGAAAGGCCCUUGAACAAGAGACACAAGAGCUGGUCUGAUAUUUCAUGUAAUAACUCCUAUUACUUCAUUGCAAAUUGUGCUUUGAGUGUGGCCUGACGUCACAUAGGUGUGUUAUGAGUUCAUCUCCAAACGGACUAUUUUCUUCGUUGAAAUGGAGCUCAUUAAACUUAAUAAAGAUAACCAAAACCUGUUACUCCAAGAAAGACUUAGCUCAUGAGUUUGAUUGGACAAACCAAAUCAACUGGAGAAGGAUAAGUUGGUAAAAACUCCGGCACUAAAUGUAUCGGCUCAAUAAGCACUCCUUUACUGGGCUAAUAUAAAUAGUGUAACCUAGUUCUGUGAGAAGGUUCUAGCACCUUGAAACUCAAGUGCAAAAUGAAAUAAAAUGCAAACUUCAUGACUUCACCUAACAGACCUCCCACCACGUUCUAACUUCAUAACUAGGUGAAGAGUGUAGUUUGCUGCAGCCCAGAAUUCACUUUUUUUAAUCCAGUCUGAUAAAAGAGAUUGAUUCCUUUUAAAGCAGUACACUUUCUCCUCUCUCCCUUUGUCUGGAACAGAGAUAAUGGAUGAGUGAGAAAAAUCAAAGAAAAUUCUGGAUCCAUCAUAAUGGGGGCCCUGACCACUGCCCUAAGCAGCAGCAAAUGGGAUGGUCUGGGAGCCACACCAGAAACCUGUUUGUUACCUUAUCUGCAUCUCCUUAGCUGAGGCACUAACUCUUGGCUUUUCAAUAGUGGUGCUCAGAAGAAGUUUGGUUCUUCUGGAAUGAAUCUGAUUGGGUGGACCUCCCAACUUUCUCUGAUUUGGCAUCCCAAAGGAAUGAGUGCUUUCCGCUUGAAGAUUCCCAGGCUCUCAGCACUUAGAGACCCAGGCCACUGUCCAGGGAAGAAUGGAGCAUGCUUCCUCAGUGUGCCUUUCGUUCUUUUCAGGGUAUGGACACUGGGUUCCACGCUUGAAAAACAUUAAGGAUUAAAUAUGGAUGAUCCAAGGAUAUUUCAUCUGUUCUGAGCUGACCUCGUUAUUGAGGCCACUCUAAAGGCCAGAAUGUGGACUUCCCAAGCCCAUUUCCUUAUCUUAUUUGCCUGUGUAAACUCGGUGAAAAGUUUUGGAAUGCUGGGAAUUCUAGGGGACAAAAAGUCACAGAAAGGUGAAUUUAUCUUCGAGUAGGGGUGGAUCGGGUUCUACUUACACUUCAACUGGCAGAGCUAUCUCAGUGACAGGUUGAAAUUCUCCUCUGGCUCCAAAGAACAAAUUGUGAGAGCUGGGUGGAAAUGUCAGUUGAGACAGAAGAGCAGCAAACAGCUUUGUUUUCCUAUAGUUGUGGUUUUGCUUGGUGAUGAUGACACACGACGAUGAAAAUGUGCAGCAUGAACUCCAUUUGUUAUCUGAGUGAGCAUCUCUGCCAACACUGAAGGAUAUGUGUGGGUGUCACCUGCAAGCACACACACACACACAGAGAGAGAGAGAGAGAGAGAGGCCCUGGUUCGGAAAAAAGAGCGAGUUAAUCAAAGAUCAACAGUGACAAGUGGUGCUGUUUAUUUCAUGAGGUUCAGAUUUGAUUUCCUUCCCCUCAUUAAUCUCCAAGUCUGAAGUUAGUCUCUGGACUAAAGAGACGAGUGUCUGGUGACUACGGAAGGGAGUGGGACAAGGUGGGCUUGAAUGGGCAUCAUGGCAGUCACCGUAGUUACGUAGUCAUUUCUUAGUCUCCUGGGCACACACUUAGCAUUUGAUAUGUUAGCUUCCAAAACGUGCAUUUCUAUUACCUUUUAAGAAUCAUGACAUAUUACAUGAGGGUAGACAAGUCGUUGUACUUGGGGUCCCUUUUGCACUCCUAACCCUAUGCAACUCUUGCUUCACUUGUUUAUGUUUCUUCCUACUCCCUUCCUUUUCAUUCACUGAAUAACUAUUUAAUGAGCACCUGCCCAGCUCUAAGAAGUGGCCUAGGAUGGAGAUGUGGCAGCAAGCAACACGGUGUUAUCAUCUCCACGCUUACCAAGUGCAGAGUGUAGACGUUGCAUGUCCCUUCCUUUUUUUACUACCCUAAUCCUCAGGGUAAUCACUUAGUCUUAAUUAUGGGUUCAGACUUGAAUGUGGCUAUUUGAUAGCCUUUGUCUUAUUGGUUUGCCUGAAACUUAUUUUUUGAGAUGUUCUUAUCUACCAUCUCUAACAUGUUUAAUGUCUUAGCUUAGGAUUGACAAAUUUUUUCUGGUAAGGGCCAAAUAGUAAAUAUUUUAGGCUUUGUGACCAUACGGUUUCUUGCAGCUACUCAAUUCUGCCAUUGGAGUGCAAAGGCAGCCACAGACAAUAUGGAAACAAAUGAACGUGUCUGUGUUCCCAUCAACCUUUAUUUGUGAAUAUUUGAACUUCAUGUAACUUUUACACAUCACACAAUAUUAGUAUUCUUUUGACUUUUUUUUCCCAACCACGCACAAUGUAAAAACACAUUCCUAGCUCAUGGGCUGCUCAAAGGCAGACGGUGGGCUGGAUUUGGGCUGCAGGCUGCUAGCUUGGGCUUGGACCCAAGCCAGUUUUAGCUACAAGCUUGUCUUUGAGUUCCAGCCACUAUUUGCACUGGUAGGGCUGGAAGGAAUCAGUUUGGCUGUGUGACUAUGUGUGAACUUGGGAGUUGGGUACCUGGCUGCCAUUUUAUGGGUGACCAAGAGUGACCCCUCUGAAAUCCAAACUAAAGCUCAGCAUUUCCCAGGGUAAUUGGUGAAAUCACUUUUACUCAGAUAAGAAAGGCAUUGACCCUACCCUUACCAUUCCUUCACUUCCAUUCCCCACUCCUGUCUGCAGCUGCUGGUUACACCCAAGGUACAAAUAGUCCUUGGAAGUAGCCCAGCCUAUGUGGGCACCCUGCGCCACACACCCAUUCACACCAUCUGGGCAAUUUAAAAAUAGGGCCAAAUGUAGCAUUUAGCCUGAUCUGUCCAGCCAAGAUGAGGAAAUUGCCUCUAAAAGGUCAGAUGAUUAAGAUUAUUGUGCCAACAGUUGAAGAUACCAGUAAUGAAAAAAGAUUUUGGUAGAGUGGAUUUAUCCUGACUUUGUACAUGGCAUUCAAGUUCUGGGUCUGGGUGAACAACCUCAGAAAUUCCAAAUUUUUGUCCUCCAGCAUGCAUGGCCACUGUGUACAUUUAUGUGUUGUGUACCCUGAGCAAGGGCCCCUAGCCAAGGGGACGAGGGGGCUGAAAUCCAGUCAGGAUCCCCUUAUCAAGCUACUCUCCUGGAAAAGCUAUUCCCACCUGGAGAGCGUGCCUUUCUCCAAUGCCCACACCUAUGGGCUAUUGAGGUGCUGACAGAAUGCUUACCUUUCUGCUACUUGAUUACUGAGCUCUUUAUAGAAUAAGUUAGAUACCCAUUUUCAAAACAGAAAUUAUCCAGGAUGAAUAAUAGUUAAAAUAAAAUAAAACAAAAACAUAGAAUCAUUCUUAAUACCAUCACAGUUUCUCUCUGGGUUCCCUUCUUUAGUCUUCUCUUCCCUGCAUUUCUGCAUAUUUUAAUUCAGUUAGUUGGUUUUUCCUGACAUACAUCUGGUGGGGUUGUCUUUUAGGAGUAACGUGAGAAGAAACUUCCUGGUUCAGAUCUCCAAGGAAAACAAAUAAGUUUUUGUGUCCUGGAGAAUACCAGGUUUGGGGUUAGUUCUUAGGAUGUCCCUGGAAUUUUUCAGUUAAUGGCAGAGUCUUCUCUUAUUCCCUACUUAUCAGUACAUGGCGGGGCUAGACUAAAUAACCUCAAGUCUAAUUCCUAUAAUAGUUUUCAAAUUUGUUAUUAUAACUCUUCCAGGAUAAUCUUCCCAAAAUAAAUGCCAUUGUUUUGGGUUUUCUCCCAUCAUCACAUUCCCAUAUUUUACAGACAUAAAUAUUUUAUGUUUGAUAUUUGUCAAUCAGGAUUAUUGGAAUAAAUCUACCAUUUCCCAUAACUCUUUUUUUUGGUUUGUUUUCUUUUUCCUUUUUUUUUUUUUUUGUUUUGGCUGCACAGCACAGCUUGUGGGAUCUUAGCGGGGCUCUGGCAGCGAGAGGACCAAGUCCUAACCACUGGACCAUUGGGGAAUUCCCCUGUAACUCUUAAAUUCAAUACUUUAUCCAAAUUGUUUCCAUUACUUUCUCUUAAGAAAAUUGUAUUUGUAAGUUUAGGCUAGAAACCUUGAAAAUGUUGUGGAACUUGGGUGAAUUUAAUUUGAAAGUCAUCUUCACAUUACAGCAUGAGAAACUAUUAUAUCAUUUUUAAAGUUUGGCGUUUUCCAAAUAAUAAAUUUAGUGAUGACAUAAA